AUGUUUAGGGUUUAUGUCUGAUUUCCAACAAUUGGUAUCAGAGCGGUUUAUCAAUUUGGGAAGUUUAUAAAAGCGGUUCAUCUUUUCAUCAUCGAUUAGGAGGCUUGUUAUCAGUGGAUUGUCAAGUAUUCGGGUUGAACGAUUGACGGUAUCUGCGGUUGAUAACAAGGGAAAAAUCAAUUGUUUUUUCAGCGUUGUUUUGUUAGAAUUAAUUCUAACGCAUGUGGGUGAAAACAUUGAAAGGGUUAUAAUAUAUUUUUCAACUUCAAAGUUUGGGUUUUAUCUUUUGUGCACGUUUGGUUUUCCAAAGUGAGUAUGGAUCAAUCGAGUAAUCAGGCGUUGGUUAACGUUAAAGAGAACAAUACUAUGUCGCUGCAAUGCCCGGUGUUAUCUUCAACAAACUACACGGUGUGGGCAAUGAGAAU
rnacentral:lncRNA from 1 species